GAGGGACCACCCUCCAAGGCUAAAUACUACCUAGUGACCGAUAGCGUAUAGUACCGUGAGGGAAAGGUGAAAAGAACCCCGGGAGGGGAGUGAAAUAGAACCUGAAACCCUGCACUUACAAGCUGUGGAAGCACAUUUCUUGUGUGACCGCGUACUUUUUGUAGAACGGGCCAACGAGUUACGUUAAGUAGCAAGGUUAAGCACUUAAGGUGCGGAGCCGUAGCGAAAGCGAGUUUUAACUGAGCGUUCAGUUACUUGACGUAGACCCGAAACCGGGCGACCUACCCAUGAGCAGGAUGAAGCGAAAGUAAAAUUUCGUGGAGGUCCGAACCCACGAGCGUUGAAAAGCUCGGGGAUGACUUGUGGGUAGCGGUGAAAUUCCAAUCGAGCCCGGAGAUAGCUGGUUCUCCCCGAAAUAGCUUUAGGGCUAGCCUCAAGGUGAGAGAUACGGAGGUAGAGCACUGAAUGUCCUAGGGGGUAUUGCACCUACCGAAGACUAUCAAACUCCGAAUGCCGUCAUCUUAUACUUGGGAGUCAGACUGUGGGUGAUAAGAUUCAUAGUCGAAAGGGCAACAGCCCAGAUCGUCAGCUAAGGUCCCUAAAUGUAAGUUAAGUGGUAAAGGAUGUGGGAUUGCACAGACAACCAGGAUGUUGGCUUAGAAGCAGCCACUCAUUCAAAGAGUGCGUAAUAGCUCACUGGUCGAGUGAUCCUGCGCCGAAGAUUUCCGGGGCUAAAACUUACUACCGAAGCUACGGCAUCAGUAAUGAUGGGUAGGGGAGCUUCCCAUACGGGUUGAAGCAUGACCGUAAGGACAUGUGGACAGUAUGGGAGUGAGAAUGUUGGCAUGAGUAGCGAGAUGUGGGUGAGAAUCCCACAGGCCGUAAACCCAAGGUUUCCAGGGGAAGGUUCGUCCGCCCUGGGUUAGUCGGGACCUAAGCUGAGGCCGAAAGGCGUAGGUGAUGGACAACAGGUUGAUAUUCCUGUACUACCGAUAACCGUUUGAGAGAAGGGAUGACACAGUAGGAUAAGCUAAGCACACUGUUGGUUAUGUGUGCCCAAGCAUUGAGGCAGUCAAAGUAGGCAAAUCCGCUUUGAUAAUGCUGGGAUGUGAUGGGGAGCGAAAUUUAGUAGCGAAGUAGCUGAUUUCACACUGUCAAGAAAAGUCUCUAUCGAGGUUAAAGGUACCCGUACCGCAAACCGACACAGGUGGGUGAGGAGAGUAUCCUAAGGCCAGCGAGAGAACUGUUGUUAAGGAACUCGGCAAAAUGACCCCGUAACUUAGGGAUAAGGGGUGCCACCAUCAGGUGGCCGCAGAGAAUAGGCCCAAGCGACUGUUUACCAAAAACAUAGGUUUCUGCUAAGUCGCAAGACGAUGUAUAGGAGCUGACGCCUGCCCGGUGCUGGAAGGUUAAGGGGAUCUGUUAGAGCAAUCGAAGCAGUGAACUUAAGCCCCAGUAAACGGCGGCCGUAACUAUAACGGUCCUAAGGUAGCGAAAUUCCUUGUCGGGUAAGUUCCGACCCGCACGAAAGGCGUAACGAUUUGGGCACUGUCUCAACAACAGACUCGGUGAAAUUGUAAUUCCGGUGAAGAUGCCGGAUACCUGCGACAGGACGGAAAGACCCCAUGGAGCUUUACUGUAGCUUGACAUUGGGUCUUGGUACUACAUGUACAGGAUAGGUGGGAGGCUUUGAAACCAGGACGCCAGUUUUGGCGGAGCCAUCCUUGG
rnacentral:rRNA from 1 species